AGCGCAGGCGGGAAACUAAGCGGAUCUUAAAAGUGCGGGGCUCAACCCCGUGAUGGGGUCCGAACUGGUUUUCUUGAGUGCAGGAGAGGAAAGCGGAAUUCCCAGUGUAGCGGUGAAAUGCGUAGAUAUUGGGAAGAACACCAGUGGCGAAGGCGGCUUUCUGGACUAUAACUGACGCUGAGGCUCGAAAGCUAGGGUAGCGAAG
rnacentral:rRNA from 1 species